UGGGGAAUAUUGCACAAUGGACGGAAGUCUGAUGCAGCAACGCCGCGUGCGGGAUGACGGCCUUCGGGUUGUAAACCGCUUUUUCUCAUGACGAAGUUUUUUGACGGUAGUGGGGGAAGAAGCACCGGCUAACUACGUGCCAGCAGCCGCGGUGAUACGUAGGGUGCGAGCGUUGUCCGGAAUUAUUGGGCGUAAAGAGCUUGUAGGCGGUUUGUCGCGUCGAUAGUGCAAACUCAGUGCUUAACGCUGAGCCUGCUGUUGAUACGGGCAGACUAGAGGAAGGUAGGGGAGAAUGGAAUUCCCGGUGGAGCGGUGGAAUGCUCAGAUAUCGGGAGGAACACCGGUGGCGAAGGCGGUUCUCUGGGCCUUUCCUGACGCUGAGAAGCGAAAGCGUGGGGAGCGAACAGG
rnacentral:rRNA from 1 species